rnacentral:rRNA from 1 species
GACGAACGCUGGCGGCGUGCUUAACACAUGCAAGUCGAACGAAAAGACGGAAAGAGCUUGCUCUUUUCAGAAUUGAGUGGCAAACGGGUGAGUAACACGUAAACAACCUGCCUUCAGGAUGGGGACAACAGACGGAAACGACUGCUAAUACCGAAUAAGUUCCAAGAGCCGCAUGGCCCAUGGAAGAAAAGGUGGCCUCUACCUGUAAGCUAUCGCCUGAAGAGGGGUUUGCGUCUGAUUAGCUGGUUGGAGGGGUAACGGCCCACCAAGGCGACGAUCAGUAGCCGGUCUGAGAGGAUGAACGGCCACACUGGAACUGAGACACGGUCCAGACUCCUACGGGAGGCAGCAGUGGGGAAUCUUCCGCAAUGGGCGAAAGCCUGACGGAGCAACGCCGCGUGAGUGAUGACGGCCUUCGGGUUGUAAAACUCUGUGAUCCGGGACGAAAAGGCAGAGUGCGAAGAACAAACUGCAUUGACGGUACCGGAAAAGCAAGCCACGGCUAACUACGUGCCAGCAGCCGCGGUAAUACGUAGGUGGCAAGCGUUGUCCGGAAUUAUUGGGCGUAAAGCGCGCGCAGGCGGCUUCCCAAGUCCCUCUUAAGAGUGCGGGGCUUAACCCCGUGAUGGGAAGGAAACUGGGAAGCUGGAGUAUCGGAGAGGAAAGUGGAAUUCCUAGUGUAGCGGUGAAAUGCGUAGAGGUUAGGAAGAACACCGGUGGCGAAGGCGACUUUCUGGACGAAAACUGACGCUGAGGCGCGAAAGCGUGGGGAGCAAACAGGAUUAGAUCCCCUGGUAGUCCACGCCGUAAACGA